rnacentral:rRNA from 1 species
UACGGGGGGGGCAAGCGUUGUUCGGAAUUACUGGGCGUAAAGGGCUCGUAGGUGGCCAACUAAGUCACACGUGAAAUCCCUCGGCUUAACCGGGGAACUGCGUGUGAUACUGGAUGGCUUGAGUUUGGGAGAGGGAUGCGGAAUUCCAGGUGUAGCGGUGAAAUGCGUAGAGAUCGGGUGGAACACCAGGGGCGAAGGCGGCAUCCUGGCUCUGUACUGACGCUGAGGCGCGAGAGCGUGGGGAGCAAACCGG